rnacentral:rRNA from 1 species
GACGUCAAGUCCUCAUGGCCCUAUGUGUUGGGCUACACACGUGCUACAAUGGCACUUACAAUGGGAAGCAAAGAGGCGACUCCUAGCUAAUCCCAAAAACGUGUCUCAGUUCGGAUUGCACUCUGCAACUCGAGUGCAUGAAGCUGGAAUUGCUAGUAAUCGCGGAUCAGCGCGCCGCGGUGAAUACGUUCCCGGGUCUU